rnacentral:rRNA from 1 species
GAUGAACGCUGGCGGCGUGCCUAAUACAUGCAAGUCGAGCGAACGGACGAGAAGCUUGCUUCUCUGAUGUUAGCGGCGGACGGGUGAGUAACACGUGGAUAACCUACCUAUAAGACUGGGAUAACUUCGGGAAACCGGAGCUAAUACCGGAUAAUAUUUUGAACCGCAUGGUUCGAAAGUGAAAGACGGUCUUGCUGUCACUUAUAGAUGGAUCCGCGCUGCAUUAGCUAGUUGGUAAGGUAACGGCUUACCAAGGCAACGAUGCAUAGCCGACCUGAGAGGGGGAUCGGGCACACGGGAACUGAGACACGGUCCAGACUCCUACGGGAGGCAGCAGUAGGGAAUCUUCCGCAAUGGGCGAAAGCCUGACGGAGCAACGCCGCGUGAGUGAUGAAGGUCUUCGGAUCGUAAAACUCUGUUAUUAGGGAAGAACAUAUGUGUAAGUAACUGUGCACAUCUUGACGGUACCUAAUCAGAAAGCCACGGCUAACUACGUG